rnacentral:lncRNA from 1 species
CACUAUUUAAUUUUUCAUAAUUACAUCACAUAUAGAAAACAGAAUUGUGUAUUAUAUAUAGAGGCAAGUUUCCACGCUUCAGGGGAAAAAUAUUGGGGGUUCAACCUCUUUCCAAAACAAUCCUUAUACGCCACAGGUCGUCUGUGGGUUUGUCACAAUGAACCCGUAGUUAACCAAGAAAAAAAAAAUCUUAAAAAAAUAAAAUAAAAUUGGCAAGAGCGGCGUCUUAUCCUCCCCUUUUUGCACUCACCAACCAAAAUUUCUCUACAAAUUAAAUAAUACUUAGAAGAAUCAAAAGCCUGUAUGAAGAGGAAGCAUUAAGUAGAAACCCAACAUCAUAUAUCUUCACAUUAUUCUUUCAAAAUACGAAUCAAGGUAUGAAAUUUUAAACCCUAUACUUUUUGCAUUUUGGGGAUUUUUCAAUUCUCGAACUCAGGAUGAAUUUUGUGAAGAAAAAUGUGGAGAAUAUAACUACAUUGAUUGAUAGGAGUUGAAAGAUGUCUUUUGUUUGCCAAAAAUUACGAAAAAACAAAUAAUCCUUACAUUUUUUUUCCUUCGAACCCUGUCACGGUUGAAACUCGAUUUUGGUCCCCACCGUAACUGUAGCUUAGAAAAUGAUGAUUCCCAACUGAAAUUUGCUGAAAUAGUAACCAGUAAAAAGUAGAAAAUAGAAUGGGGAAGGGGAAAAUGAGAAAAUAAGAAGAAUGAAGGUGAGAAAAGCUGUUGAUUCAAUUAAUAAUUUCACUAAAAUUUUGCAGAAAACAUUACAUAGACCCCGACUUCCUCCCACAUGGUUGUACGUAUACAACUAACAAAAUAUAAAGUCGUGCUUUCCAAACCCAGAAGUAGAAGAUGGUUUUUAACAAAUAACAACAAUUUAUUUCAAGCAAGAUGACACCGUAUGGACUUAAUAAAAAACGACGUCGUAGGCACUUUCAAUUCCAGUUACCGCCACUGGUUUCUUCUCCUCUAUUUUUCCUCCUCUGUUUUUACUUUGAGACCCUUCUUUCCCCAUUGAUCUCCCUCAUGACAACCCUUCUCCUCACCUUGAUCCUGUCCCCAAGAUAUUUAAACAGGAAACUAGGCCUUAAUCCAAUCAACAUCUUUCCAUGUCACAAUUUUUGGUGGUAGUAGAUCUGACCAAUGAAUGAGCUAUUGUUCUACUAUUCGAUUUAUACGCUUCACUAAUUUGGAUUGUAGGAUUGCAAGGAGAUAAUGACCUACCUGUAGUGGCUGCUUUUCUUCAGGGAGUUGUAGGACUGGCAUUAUGUUGUCACCAAGUUUUUUCUUCAAGAGUGAAAUAUGGAAGACUUGUUGAAUUUUGAAGUCUCUAGGUAGUUCCAUUUGCUAAGCCACUGUCCCUACUUUCCUAGUAAUCUAUGAAAGGUUUUCCUUUAACUGAUGGUUUAAUUUGUAUCUCCAUAUCUCCACCACUAGUCUCUUUAUGUUUGUAUUCUGGAUAAAAG